rnacentral:rRNA from 1 species
GAUGAACGCUGGCGGCGUGCCUAAUACAUGCAAGUCGAGCGAACAGAUGAGGAGCUUGCUCCUCUGACGUUAGCGGCGGACGGGUGAGUAACACGUGGAUAACCUACCUAUAAGACUGGGAUAACUUCGGGAAACCGGAGCUAAUACCGGAUAAUAUAUUGAACCGCAUGGUUCAAUAGUGAAAGACGGUUUUGCUGUCACUUAUAGAUGGUUCCGCGCCGCAUUAGCUAGUUGGUAAGGUAACGGCUUACCAAGGCAACGAUGCGUAGCCGACCUGAGAGGGUGAUCGGCCACACUGGAACUGAGACACGGUCCAGACUCCUACGGGAGGCAGCAGUAGGGAAUCUUCCGCAAUGGGCGAAAGCUUGACGGAGCAACGCCGCGUGAGUGAUGAAGGUCUUCGGAUCGUAAAACUCUGUUAUUAGGGAAGAACAAAUGUGUAAGUAACUAUGCACGUCUUGACGGUACCUAAUCAGAAAGCCACGGCUAACUACGU